AAAAGGGGGUGACCCCUGCUCAUUUGCUGGCUGAAUAGGAAGGAGAGUAGAUCUCUGUGAGAGAAAUCUGGCUGGGGCUAGGAACUGCUGGAGAGACUGCUGCCUCCAAGAGGGAAGGAGCUGCAAAUGUUUCAAGCCUCCCUCCUCCACCCCAAAGGCUAGCUCAGAGAAGGCAG